ACAGCUUUGAUCAUAUAAAUUAUGGCCCUGUAGCAAAAUGAAAAAAAUGCACAAAAUAAACUAUUCAGAAGUACUUACUUAUAAAUAAACUGUCUUGCUAAUUAUUGUGCCUACUAACACCACUGAGUAGGCUUUACUUAACCUCAUUAUUUGCCGGAAAACAGAAUGCGCUCUAAGACAAUGAGAAGAAAGCCUAGCUUCUAUUAACGCUAUUAAAACAUGUGUGGUACGAAAGAAGAAUGCGGCGACACUGAAGUAUACUGUGAGAAAUGCAAGAACUACAAAAAUAUAUACCCGCUGCCGCCCGAACCCGUCUCUCGGCCGAGAGCUGUACAGAGAGAAAUUAUUCGUGAACGAAACCCAAGCUGCUGCGAAAACUGCAAGCGCAAAAUGUUCGGUUAUUUGUUCUGCUUUAUUUGCGGAUUCACCGUCGCAAUUCUAGUAAUUAUAUUUGCUGUUCCAUAAAAUAUAUCCAAGAUCUAUAAAUUUUAGAGGACUCAGAAAUUGGACCUUCGUUUUGAAGCCUUUUGAAGAACACAUUUUUAAUACCGGUUAAAAUGCGUAGUGAAAAGAGGAAUAAAAAUCAAUGCACACCCAACUAUUGUGAAAAAGAAAGCGUAA